rnacentral:rRNA from 1 species
UACGUAGGGGGCAAGCGUUGUCCGGAAUCAUUGGGCGUAAAGAGCGUGUAGGCGGCCAGAAAAGUCCGCUGUGAAAACUCGAGGCUCAACUUCGAGCUGUCGGUGGAAACUUUCUGGCUAGAGUCCGGAAGAGGAGAAUGGAAUUCCUGGUGUAGCGGUGAAAUGCGCAGAUAUCAGGAGGAACACCAGUGGCGAAGGCGCCGCUCUGGGCCGAGACUGACGCUGAGGAGCGAAAGCGUGGGUAGCAAACAGG